AUAUUUUUCUUGAUCUCGUUGCUGAAGUUCUCUUGAUAUUUUCCUGUGCUACUUAUUUCCUAUUUUGUUAGAAUUUUUAGUUUACAAGUUCAUUGAAUCGAGCCCUACUUCCCCGUUUUUUGCGUCAACAUUCUACUGUAAAAAUUUCCAGAAUCAUGUGUUUUGGAAAGAGCUGAUAUGAUAAUAAGUUUGUGUAUAAUGUGUUAGAUGCUGAUCGACUUUGUCAUACUAACUCAUACUCGUACUAAGAGAUGCGAGCAACAAUAACAAGUCUCCUGAAGAAUGUUCCAGUCAAAGAGUUGGAAACAAUUGUGACUGUAUAAGUUGUGGAAUAUCUUUGAACAGGCACUCAAGAAGACAAAAUCACAGGCCAUAGGCUUAUGGAAAAAAGUGAUAAGUGGCAUUAUACAAAAAAACAAAUAUCUCCAAGACAGAUGCCUGAUGGAUGCUUGAAUUAGAGAUGGAUGGUUGUUUGCAGGAUGAGCUCACAUCGAAAGCAUUAAUAUUUAGUGAACAGUAAAGCUGUGUUAAGUGUGCCGUUGCAUUGUAUGUAGUUAGUAGCUAUUUAUGUUCAUAGAUUUUGUUAAACUACCUAUGAGCUUAAAUCACUUUAUAUUAUCAUAUCAUAACAUAACAUAACAAAUACUUUUUUGCACAAACAGGAAAAAACAAAAUACAAAACAAAAGAGAAAUAGAAUUAGUACAAUAGGCGGCCUUAUCAUUAAAUAGAUAAAAAAAAUAACUAUGUAUAUUUUAAUGUUAUUGUUAAGUUUUUAUAUAGCUACUUACUAAUAAUGUAACCAUACAUCUCAUCAUCUCCUAUUACAUAGCUUGUGAGGUGGAUGGCGAACCUCAUCAACCCUGUUAUAGGAUUAUUACUGAGCCACCCUGUUGUUACAUAAACCAAGUCCCCUGACAUGGUUUAUGUAACAACUAUGUAAUUAUAUUAGUAAGUAGUAACUGAGACCAACAGCUUCACAUGCUAUCCAAAGGAUUGCAAAGUAAUUUUUGUGAUAUGUCUACACCGGGUUCGAACUUUGGAUUGUGAGCCUGUCAGUCAACUACUCUAAAUUGCAGAGAAGGGGAGGAAAGUAGUUGGUUAAGUUGAUGUUUUAUUAGUCAGUAUAGUCCUGAAGGUGUUGUGUGACAGACCUGAUUGCCCAAUAUGGGCAUACUGGACGGACCUCCAUAUUAUACCAGUCAAGCCGGGAUAUGGUGUCCGCCGGUAAAAUCGAGUCCAGGCCUGGGCGCCAUACAUUCUUGAAACGUCUCCUUUAUCAUAUUUUAUUUUUGUUGCUUUUGUUUGUUUUAUGUACCUGUUACUAACAUUAGGUUUAAGUUACUUUGUACUUACUAACAUCUAUGGAUUUCAAAUCCGAAAUAAAUUAUUAUUCAUU